rnacentral:rRNA from 1 species
CGCGUGGGAAUCUACCUAGAGGUUCGGAAUAACUAUUGGAAACGAUAGCUAAUACCGGAUAAGCCCUUCGGGGGAAAGAUUUAUUGCCUUUAGAUGAGCCCGCGUCGGAUUAGCUUGUUGGUAAGGUAACGGCUUACCAAAGCAACGAUCCGUAGCUGAUCUGAGAGGAUGAUCAGCCAGAUUGGGACUGAGACACGGCCCAGACUCCUACGGGAGGCAGCAGUAGGGAAUAUUGCGCAAUGGGGGAAACCCUGACGCAGCGAUGCCGCGUGAGUGAAGAAGGCCUUAGGGUUGUAAAACUCUUUCAGUGGUGAAGAUAAUGACGGUAACCACAGAAGAAGCUCCGGCUAACUCCGUGCCAGCAGCCGCGGUAAUACGGAGGGGGCUAACGUUGUUCGGAAUUACUGGGCGUAAAGCGCGCGUAGGCGGAUUAGACAGUUGGGGGUGAAAUCCCGGAGCUUAACUUCGGGACUGCCUCCAAUACUACUAAUCUAGAGUUCGGAAGAGGUGAGUGGAAUUCCUAGUGUAGAGGUGAAAUUCGUAGAUAUUAGGAAGAACAUCAGAGGCGAAGGCGGCUCACUGGUCCGAUACUGACG